AGUGGAAAACCUGUUAUGAGACACAACUUGAACAGAAUGAUCAACUAGAAAAGCAAGUUGUUAGUCUCAGAGAGAAAGUGGAAAAAAUUCCGUGGAAAUCCUUCACAUAGACUAUCUUCUAUUCAUGUCUAUGAGCGGAUGCCAGUGGAAUCCUUAAGUACAUUACUUAAACAGCCAGCAAAAGAAAAAAAGAGCCUUGAAAAUCAAGUAAAAGACUAUGUACUUAGACUGGAACGAGAAUCAAAGGCUUACCACAAGAUCAAUGAUGAACGUCGUAUAUACCUAGCUAAAAUGUCUCAGGUCUCUGGCUCACACCAAGUUUCUAAAAGACAACCAAUGAAUCAACUGCAUACAAUGAAAGAGAAUCCAGUGAAAACAGAAGGAUAUAAUCCAGCUAAUCAGAAAAUGGUAAAUGCCAAGAGAGGACCAGCAAAAAAGAUUACAAGAUCAAAUCAUCUUCCAAAACUCAAUCCAUAA